UUAGCGUUUGAGAGGUCGCAGCAGGACCACAGCAAGAGACCAGUCUGGGCUGUAGAGCAAGUUCAUGAUCUACAUGAGCAAAUUAGCAAGGCCAUGUCUCAUCACUAAAAGUGUUCUUUUUAUCCAAAGGCUGCAACCUGCCCACACGAACCACGUGAGCAGCAGCAGCGAGUGCAACACUGGACAGAUGUGCUUAAAUAACUAUUCUGUGACUUAAAGGACCCGUGAAAGAAAUCUGGAAAUAAGAAGCCCAAGGUUGGAAUGACUUCAAGAGACAAGGAGAAGAGGUCCAAUGAGAUGGCUCAGUGAGCAAAGAACUCAUACAAGCCUCAAAAUCUGAGUUUAAACUCCAGAACCCACAUAAUGGUAGAUAGAGGAAAUUGACUCUGGAGUUGUCUCUCUGGCCUCCACAUGUGCACCAUGGCAUGUGUGUAUGUCCCUCACCACCCCCUCGUCUCUGUCUCUGUCUCUGUCUCUGUCUCUCUCUCUCUCUCUCUCUCUCACACACACACAUACACACACACACAUACACACUAUCAGUUCCUUUUCUGUCAAUAUAUUAGAAUACCUUGACGAAAAGCUUAGAGGAGAAAUUUAUUUUGCCUUACAUUCCAGAGAUAGAGUCCAUUGUGGAUUGUGAGGCUGCAUAGUCAGAAAGCAGAAGCCAGGAAGUGAAGGAACAGGAAAUGAAGGAACAGGAAGUGAAGCCAGGCUAUAAAACCUCUGAGCCUGCUACUCCCUCCCACCAGUGAUGUGGUUGCUCCAGCAAGGCUCUACCUUCCAAACAUAACCUUCCAAAAUAGUGCCACCAAGGGUUCAAAUACAUGAGCUGGGGGACAUUUCACAUUCAAACCACAAUAACGCUUUCCCUCACAAAAGAGGGUAUAAUGGGAAGAAGGUUUGGGUGGGUAUGGGAAAUGUGAUGAGGUGAUCAGACCCAGGGCAUGCUGUACAGAGGGACAAAGGAGCUGUCAUUGGGCCUUGGAGUCAGUAAAUGACAUGGUCCCAUAUCCAUUCCACAUGACAGAAUUCCUUUUCUCUGACUGUCCUGGCUUCUGCUGCUGUGAUAAAUAACCCUGAUAAACAUCAACUUAAGGAAGAAAGGAUUUAUUUAGCUUACAGUUCUAGGCUGUAGUCCAUCCCUGUGGGAGAGUCAAGGAAGGGACUUGAAGUGGCUAGGCACAUCACAGGAACAGUCAGGAGUAGAGAGAAUGCAUGCGUGCAUGCCUACACUCAGCUCAUCAUUUCCUCUUUUAUGCAUUCCAGGACUCAAACCCAGGGGAUGGUGCUGCCCACAGUGGGCUGGGUCUUCCCAUUUCAAAGAACAGAAUCAAGACAGUCCUCACAGACAUGCCUUCAGCCCAGCCCAAUCUAGACAAUCCCUCACUGUAACUCUCCAGGUGACUCUGUAUCAACGACAAAGUAACCAUCACACUAACACUCCACACUGUUGAUCAAUGCUGCCUUUACUUCUUAAAGGACAGAACUCUUCUCUGAUUGAUCAUGUCCCCUGUAGCUAGGAGAGAGUUCUCCCUCUGUUGUCCACACUUACUGCUCAAUGUAAGGAAAUCGGGAUGUGAUGCCCCUCUCUCCUUGCCUGCAGCAAACUCAAGAACGACUAUGCGGGCACUCUGAGGACUGGAAGCAUCAGGCUGACAUCUCUAACAGGAAAUGUGUUAUGAGUUGGGUGGGCUGAAACCUUGCUUUGCUUCAGCCUUUUUUGAUCUUAUCAUUUAAUUGGGCA